CACACCCGUGGCAGAAAGGUAACGACUAUAUACAGUUUAGUUGUAGUGCAGGUCUACAUGCGACCUGGUAGCACUGUUCGACGAGUUCAGGGAUCGGGGAAGGAGGAAAGACAACUGGCCACAUACAGCUGGCCGCAAUAUUCAAAUAGGGCUUUCAAACGCAAGAUCAUAACGUGAAGCAACUUGGAAGAAUGGGUAUGAAUCAAGAGUACAUAACCCCCCAGAGUGUGCAACUCCCACAUACCCUGCUGUCCCGACAGAAUUUCAAGUUGACGUCAUUUUGAUGAUGCAAUGCGCACUGUACACGGAUUAUCAGACGAAUCCGGAACCUGUGGUUGACCGAAGCCGAUCGAUCCUGUACAAAUUAUUGCAAAGAAAAACGUGUGAUGCGUUGACACCCGUACACAUGUUCUAAAUCCCUGGUGCAAGGAGCGGUAUGAGCUACUACAAAAGGUGAGUGAAAUGAAGGCGUGGAAGCAGGUGAAUGUGAUAGAGUGAGGAAGUGUGAGGUGUAGGUGUAUGCGAAUGAAUACGUGUGUGAAUGCUAGGUGAAGAGUCUCAAUUUUGUGACAUUUUCUUUCUGAAUGCAUAGAUCACCUUUUGUAGUAGCUCACACCGUCGGAACACUCUCACAUCUUUUCUUCUAAUUUCUUUCGUCUUCUCUCCCACUUCUAGUUUUUUUUUCACACCUCACCUUGUAUACUUCCCACUAUCCUAUAACCUAUAAGUAGUUUGUUUCUCCGUAUAGCCUCUAUUGUGAGACGAUUUUUCCCUGAUGAUAGUCUCAAGAAAAUCGAUUAGGAACAACCAUUAUUUUUAGAUACAUGUAUUCUCAUUCAUCAUUUUAAUUGCUUUCUGCACUUUUUUUGGACAUCUUUAUGCAGUUUUCCCGAAGUGCUUUCCAUGUUCAUGUACAUGUAGGUUAUUUGCACAGUAUGACUUGUACUACUCCCAAGUAGAUCUACUGCGCAAAUAGCGUUUCUACGGAUGCAACAAAUUUUGUGAUUUGGUCCAAAUCCGCAAUUUUCUGCAAAUAAUUCCACAAAUCUCUGGCAAGUUCCACAUCUUUUCGCACUUUUCGCCGCAUAUUUUGUUGUUUUCUGCCGCAACGAAAUUUUCUGCAAAUUCCCGCAGGGACAGACAUGUACAAUCAUGUAGAUCUACAAAAUGUUUAAUGUACUUUGAAGUACAUGUAAUGACUGCAAAAGCCUCAAGCAAUGCACUCCUAGAUCCUUGCCUUCUCGGCCUCCCGCAGCCCAUGCAGCCUUCGCUGGCUCGACUAUCAUGACAAUCAUGAUUAUCAGGGCCGCCGGACCUGGUCCCGUUGGUCAGGUAAUCACCGGACCAACAUUCUAGCCACCUACACACGUUCACUACUUUGGAGGUCAUGUGUACACGCCAUUUCAUACACAACUUAGUAUGAAAGCCUGAAAGGCGCUGAAACUACCGGACCUGCUUCUUAUUCCGGCGGUCCUGAUUAUGCCUUUAUGGCCAUGGUUGGAUUUGUCAAAGUUGUGUUGGCCAUGCUCAAACAUGUGUGUUGACAUCCAAUAAUGCAUACUCUCAGUGUACCUGCCCGGCCCUAGCCCUCCUAAGUCCUGUUAGUCGCUUGGGCACUUUCAAUUUUCAAAAGUCCUGUGUACAUUUGAGUCCAACAUUUCUAGCGCUAUCCUAGCUGAUAGAGUGGGUCUCUAGGAGUGUUUUGGCACUAGGGUGCCAUCUCGGAGCUGGGGCAUAAGGGAGCGGCGAGUGGAAUACUGCGUGUCCAAUUUCCUGUACAAUUUAGAUCAUGUAACCAUGGUAACGGCGCUGACUCAUUCAAAGACUGGCAGAAUUUACGUCGUAUUGUCGACUUUCCGAGUUGCCUAUGUGACUGUAAAGUACACCAGGCACGCAGAUACAUUGAAUGUUUGAUGAUAGGAUGAUGUGGACUGUAUAGACCUCUUCAGGUUCCUGAAAUAUCAUACUAUUUUUGGUUCAAAGCUAGCUACACACUAGAGCACAAUCAGGUAUGUACAGUAGAAAGUUACUCCUGUGAUUAGUUUAUACUAUUGCAGAGUUCCAUUA